UUAUUAUUUAUAUGUAGAUAUGGCUGCAUAUUAAAAUUUUUUGUUUUGGACGUUAGUAGCUGCCGUGCUGGUUAUUGUGCAACAGUUUGGAAGUGCUCUAAUCAUGUGAGCGACCUUAAGGUUAAUUGUUUUUUAUUAUUGUGUGAUUUAUAAUGCCGAAAUUGAAACAAGUUUAUUGUUGGAAAGGAAAAAUUGUCACUAAAAAGUGCACCAGGAGCAACUUCUAUUUCAAUAAUUCUUUUUUUGUUAAUAAUUUCUAUUUAUCUAAUUUAAUUUAUCUAAUCUUAUCUAAUUUCUUGGUAAUAAUGUUUAGAAUAUUGACAGUACGGUAACUAUAAUUAUGUAACGCGUUGUCAUGUUAUAAUAAAUUUUUUAAUAAUUUAUGUCUUUUAUAUUGAGUAGAUAAAAUUAAACUGAAAUUUGUUGUUAAUUUUUAUAAUAAAAAAAAAUAAUUUUUUAUAUCUUCAGAAUUUUCUGUUGUUUACAAAUAUCCAUAUUCUCCUUAAAAGUGAGCAAUUCAAUUGUCUUCUAUUUAAUAUCUACGUGAUUAUAUAAUUUAUAAUCAAAUAUCAAUUUAUAAUCAAUAUAUAUAAUCAAAAGUAAAUAUUAAGUUGCAACUUUUUUAUUAUUAUACUAUAUAGGGGAUUAUUACUGGACAGACCAUUUACUAUGUGAAAAUUAAAAAAUUUAUUGUAAUAUAUAUCUUGUCCGUGCUUGUCGAUUUUAGUCAAAAUAUUAAGCUCACAAAGACACACACAUACUUCUUUUUCUUCUAAAUGGGUUGGUACCGACAUAUACUCACACGGCCAUAAACUGGUCAAAAUAUAUGUAGGUUCCUCGAAAAAGAUUAAAUGAAAUCCUCUUUAGAACAGGUGAAAAUUCAAAAAUAAGAUCCAAACAAAGGACACACGCAUAACGCCAGAACACGUCCGUUCUCGUCCGCGGACGGCAACGAACUUGUGCGUGUGUCUUAACUAGACACACAUAUACAAAAGAUCGUUUAUACUUUGGAGAAGCUCUAUGUCAUAAAUUAAACAAUAAUAGAUUUGAUCGUAACCGUCCAAGUGACUCGCACAAGAACAGUGUGCUAAAUAUCUCACGUUUCUAAAUAUGAUUUUAAAUAAAGAAAUAAAAAAUUCAAGUAGGAAAUGGGCUAAUAAGAACCGAGCGCAUUUCCAUCGUCAUUGGCUGUCGUCCUAAUUAAGUCUCCUAUCGGUUCCAGCCGUUUAGAGAUGACAAGAUUAAUUCAAAAUAAUCGGAUAUUGAAAAUUGUGAAAACUGGGGAAGAUAUUAGAUAAACAAAGAGUAAAGAUAACGAGGAAGAUCCACUGAAAAAAUCCAUAUAAAAAAAAAAAAAAAAAAAAA